rnacentral:tRNA from 1 species
GGCGACAUAGCCAAGUGGUAAGGCGUGGGUCUGCAACACCCUGAUCACCAGUUCGAAUCUGGUUGUCGCCUCUA